GUUCUGAUGAAGAGUCUCAGACUAGGAUGAAACAGCUGUCCAGUAC
rfam:Trichobilharzia regenti genome assembly, scaffold: TRE_scaffold0004635